rnacentral:rRNA from 1 species
AACGAACGCUGGCGGCAGGCUUAACACAUGCAAGUCGAGCGCCCCGCAAGGGUAGUGGCAGACGGGUGAGUAACACGUGGGAACAUGCCCAAAGGUACGGAAUAUUCUCGGGAAACUGGGAGCAAUACCGUAUGUGCCCGAAAGGGGAAAGAUUUAUCGCCUUUGGAUUGGCCCGCGUCAGAUUAGGUAGUUGGUGGGGUAAUGGCCUACCAAGCCGGCGAUCUGUAGCUGGUCUGAGAGGACGACCAGCCACACUGGGACUGAGACACGGCCCAGACUCCUACGGGAGGCAGCAGUGGGGAAUCUUGGACGAUGGGCGCAAGCCUGAUCCAGCCAUGCCGCGUGGAUGAUGAAGGCCCUAGGGUUGUAAAAUCCUUUCGUUGGGGACGAUAAUGACGGUACCCAAAGAAGAAGCUCCGGCUAACUUCGUGCCAGCCGCCGCAGUAA